GGGCCCGCACAAGCGGUGGAGCAUGUGGUUUAAUUCGAUGAUACGCGAGGAACCUUACCAGGGCUUAAAUGUAGUAUGACCGGCUUGGAAACAGGCCUUCUCUUCGGACUACUUACAAGGUGCUGCAUGGUUGUCGUCAGCUCGUGCCGUGAGGUGUCAGGUUAAGUCCUAUAACGAGCGCAACCCCUGUUGUUAGUUGCCAUCGAGUCAUGUCGGGAACUCUAACAAGACUGCCGGUGCAAACCGUGAGGAAGGUGGGGAUGACGUCAAAUCAUCACGGCCCUUACGUCCUGGCUACACACGUGCUACAAUGGCCGGUACAGAGAGCAGCCACACCGCAAGGUGGAGCG
rnacentral:rRNA from 1 species